rnacentral:snoRNA from 2 species
AUCCUUCUGUAGUUCGUGAGCAUGAUGAUUGGGUGCUCACACACAUAUGUGAGAUGUACCACCCUCAAACCUUGUUACAAUGUCAGCACAUUACCCAUCUGACC